GCCGGGCGCGGUGGCGCGCGCCUGUAAUCCAAGUCACCGGGAGGCUGAGGCUGGCGGAGCGUUUGAGCUCAGGAGCUCUGAGCUGCAGUGGACUAUGCCGAUCGGGUGUCCGCGCUAAGUUCGGUAGCGAUAUGGUGCUCCUGGGGGAGCCCGGGACCACCAGGUCGUCUAAGGAGGGGUGCACCGGCCCAGGUCGGACACGGAGCAGGUCAAAUCCCCCGUGCCGCUCAGUAGCGGGAUCGCGCCCGUGAAUAGACGCUUGAGUGAUAUAGCGGGACCCAGUCUUU
rnacentral:SRP_RNA from 1 species